rnacentral:rRNA from 1 species
AACGAACGCUGGCGGCAUGCCUAACACAUGCAAGUCGAACGAGACCUUCGGGUCUAGUGGCGCACGGGUGCGUAACGCGUGGGAACCUGCCCUUAGGUUCGGAAUAACUCCCCGAAAGGGGUGCUAAUACCGGAUAAUGUCUUCGGACCAAAGAUUUAUCGCCUUUGGAUGGGCCCGCGUUGGAUUAGCUAGUUGGUAGGGUAAAAGCCUACCAAGGCGACGAUCCAUAGCUGGUCUGAGAGGAGGAUCAGCCACACUGGGACUGAGACACGGCCCAGACUCCUACGGGAGGCAGCAGUGGGGAAUAUUGGACAAGGGGCGAAAGCCUGAUCCAGCAAUGCCGCGUGAGUGAUGAAGGCCUUAGGGUUGUAAAGCUCUUUUACCCGGGAUGAUAAUGACAGUACCGGGAGAAUAAACUCCGGCUAACUCCGU